CCUACGGGUGGCUGCAGUGGGGAAUAUUGGGCAAUGGGCGCAAGCCUGACCCAGCAACGCCGCGUGAGGGAAGAAGGUUUUCGGAUUGUAAACCUCUGUCGCAAGGGACGAAGAAGUGACGGUACCUUGUGAGGAAGCCCCGGCUAACUACGUGCCAGCAGCCGCGGUAAUACGUAGGGGGCGAGCGUUGUCCGGAAUUACUGGGCGUAAAGGGUGCGUAGGCGGCUUUUUAAGUUGGAUGUGAAAUACCCGGGCUUAACUUGGGGGGUGCAUUCAAAACUGGAGAGCUAGAGUUCAGGAGAGGGAAGCGGAAUUCCUAGUGUAGCGGUGAAAUGCGUAGAUAUUAGGAGGAACACCAGUGGCGAAGGCGGCUUUCUGGACUGACACUGACGCUGAUGCACGAAAGCGUGGGGAGCAAACAGGAUUAGAUACCCCGGUAGUC
rnacentral:rRNA from 1 species